GCCUGAUCCAGCAAUGCCGCGUGAGUGAAGAAGGCCUUCGGGUUGUAAAAGCUCUUUCAGUUGAAAAGAAAAAGCCGUGACUAAUAAUCAUGGUUCAUGACGGUAUCAACAGAAGAAGCACCGGCUAACUACGUGCCAGCAGCCGCGGUAAUACGUAGGGUGCAAGCGUUAAUCGGAAUUACUGGGCGUAAAGGGUGCGCAGGCGGUUCUGUAAGUCAGAUGUGAAAUCCCCGGGCUUAACCUGGGAACUGCGUUUGAAACUGCAGAGCUAGAGUGCGGCAGAGGGAGGUGGAAUUCCAUGUGUAGCAGUGAAAAUGCGUAGAGAUAUGGAAGAACAUCGAUGGCGAAGGCAACCUCCUGGGCUAGCACUGACGCUCAUGCACGAAAGCGUGGGGAGCAAACAGGAUUAGAUACCCUGGUAGUCCACGCCCUAAACUAUGUCAACUAGUUGUCGGGCCUUAAUAGGCUUGGUAACGUAGCUAACGCGUGAAGUUGACCGCCUGGGG
rnacentral:rRNA from 1 species